GCUUCAUUCAUGAACAUACUGAGCUUUUCUUCUGUUUGCUAUAUCCCUUCUCUAUUACUCUUUUGCUUGCGUUUGCCUGUUGAAAUGAUCACAUCCAUGAUAAUUUCUGCCUUCCUGGUUUUGACCCACACUUGCCUUCUGAUGCAGGAUCAUCCAUCCAUCCAAUUUCUACGCCGCUUCUCCGUCAGGAAUACUUCGCCAAACAUGCAGACGGUGGAUUCCGAAGCUAUCCAGAAGGCUUUAUCAGAGCAAGGACAACUAUUGGGUCGACAUCAGCAGGUGCUAACCGGAGUAACUCAAUCAUUGAAUUCUCUGGCUCAACAGCAAGUGCACCAGCAGGCUCAGUUAGCCCAACUCAUCGCCAGUGUACAGGGACUGACCAGGCAGCUCCAAGUGAUGAAUCUCACUGAACAUUUGGCUACAACAGGAAUUCAGACUGCUGUAGAGAACCAAGCCACUACCACUUAUCCGGUAUCAGAAACACCUGAUUUACCGGAACCUAUGCAGUGUGAUUCGUCUCAUUUGUCUAAAGAAGAGAGAAGGUGCCAGUUCCAGAACCAGCUUUGUAUGUAUUGUGGCCAAGCCGGACACCAAGUAAGAAAUUGUCUCGAACGACCUCAAUCUCGCAAGGUGCCAACCCCAAGAAAGGGGAUUGGAGUUCACGUCACAUGCUAAUAUGCCCUGAUUGACUCUGGAGCCAAGGGGAACUUCAUUCAAGCCAGCCUCGUGGACCGACUACAAAUCCCUGCGGAAGAACUAUCAACAGCCCUCAAGGUUGCAGCUAUGGAUGGAGGUCCUGUAGGUGUGGGGUCCAUUUCCAAGAUCACUACCCCUGUAGAAAUUCAAACCAGUGCCCUAUACUGAGAAACCAUAACGCUGAUACUAAUACUUCGAGACAUGCUAGGACAAUAUGUAAUCGCCAAUCCAGACGACAUCUUAGUUUAUUCGCCAGAUUAUGAGAGUCAUAUACAACACGUUAGGACAACAAUCGACAAUCAAACAAAAAAAAAUGCAAAUUUUAUUUGCAGUCGGUCGCAUUACAUAAUUAGUGCACAAGGAGUUACUAUGGACAAUCACAAGGUAGAUGCAGUGGUUAACUGGCCUCAACCCAAAAGUCUCAAGGAGUUACAAAGAUUUCUAGGUUUUGCCCAUUUUUAUUGCCAAUUCAUUAGAAACUUCAGUGUAAUCGCAACUCCCCUGACUUCACUAUUAAAAGGGGCCCCCAGAAAAAUGUCAUGGUCAGAACAGACAGAUGUAACUUUUAACCACAUAAAGACAGCGUUCGUUAUGGCCCCGAUUCUUCACCAUCCAGACCCCUCUCGACAGUUUGUAGUAGAGGUAGAUGCCUCUGAAACUGGAGUAGGGGCAGUACUAUCCCAGAGAAUGGGCGACCUGGAGAAACUGUUUCCCAUCGCCUUUUAGUCCCAUAAACUUUCCCCAAUGGAGAAGAAUUACGGUGUAGGUGACAGAGAACUCUUAGCUGUCAAACAUGCCUUAGAAGAGUGGAGGCAUUGGUUGGAGGGAGCUAAAUUCCCAUUCAUAGUUGUCACAGACCACAAAAAUCUAGAAUAUCUACGCACGACUAAGAGAAUAAAUUCGUGUCAAGCCCACUGGUUUUUGUUUUUCUCACGCUUUCGUUUUAACAUUACUUAUAGACCAGGAUCCAGGAAUACUGAAGCUGAUGCGUCAUCUAGACUCUAAAACAGAGACCCCAGAACAUAUUCUGGCACAGAAAGUCAGCAUUUCCUCCAUAAGAUGGGACAUAGAUGAAAAAAUUGAAUGGGCUCUAUAACACCUCCAAAAACCAGACCAGUGUCCUUCACAAAAAUUGUGCCCGAAGCCUUUCACAACCAGCUCAUCAGAUGGGCACAUUCUUCUAUGACUUCUGGACAUCCCAGAGAGACAAGAACCCAGAAACUACUGGUGCAAAUGUAUUGGUGGGAAUCCUUGACAAAAGACAUUCAUAUGUUUGUGGCAUCACAUUCUGUUUGUUCACAGUGCAAGACUCCUAAGACUUUACCAGCAGGGAAAUUGAUGCCUCUACCCGUUCCUCAAAGACCCUGGUCACAUAUUUCUAUCCACUUUGUUACAGAUUUACACGUCCCUGAAGGAUUCACCAACAUACUCACCAUAGUAGACCGAUUCUCCAAGGGUGUAAGAUUCAUGCCAUUUGCAUCUAUUCCCAGUGCUUUCCAGACUUCCAAUGCCUUGUUCUUACAGGUUUUCAGGACAUUCGGCAUCCCGGAGGAUAUCAUCUCUGAUAGAGGACCCCAGUUCACAUCCUAAGUUUGGUCUGCCUUUUUUGAACACUUGGGAAUGUCAGUGAGUUUAACAUCAGGUUAUCACCUGCAGUCUAAUGGACAGUGUGAGAGGGUUAACCAAGAACUGGGAAAAUUCUUGAGGUUGUUUUUGUUAUGAGAACCCUUCAGAUAGGUCUGAGUUUUUUAGUAUGGGCUGAGAUCACACAAAACUCUCUAACCAGCUCUGUUGCAGGGGUAAGUCUGAUUCUGUGUAUUCUUGGCUUUCAACCACCCAUUGCACCAUGGACUGGAGUCCAGACAAACGUUCCUGCAGUUGAUGAUUGGAUGGCAAGGAGCGAAAGGUUUGGGGAAGAAACCCAUCAUCAAAUCGAGGAAGCCAUCCGACGCCAUAAGGAACAGGCCGGUUGUCACCGGGGUGCCGCAACCGUCUACCCGCUGGGAGAUUGUGUUUGGCUAGCCACCGGGGAUUUCCGCAACUCAGGGGAAUUGCCAUAAACUACAGCCCAAAUACUUAGGACCUUUUAAGAUUGUUCAAAAAAAAAUAACGACGUAACUUAUAGACUCGACCUACCUCCCCGUUUCUGAGUAUCUUGUUUUUUUGUUUUUUUUUCUUCAUGGAUCUCUGCUUACACCUGUAUUUUCCCACUGGAGGUGAUAGAUGGGAAUCCAGUCUAUGCUGUUCGACGGUUGCUGGACUCAUGGAGGUGAGAUGACCUCUGCCUGAACUCCAUUUCCCAGGAGCAUGAGGGAGAUCACGUGACUGGUGACGAUCAUUCAUGCACCUAUCAGCGGUCACCCAAUUACUGAUUCAUGUCACCUGUACUGGUUUGUCACGUGUGCUACUUAGAAUAGUUUAUAAGCCCGGGCUUCACUUAGUUUAGUUGCGAAGUAUUGCUUCAUUCAUGAACAUUCUGAGCUUUUCUUCUGUUUGCUAUAUCCCUUCUUUGUGUACCUGGACUGUGACAUAUAUAUUUUUUUUUUCUUUGUUCAUCGGAUUCUGGUUGCCUGUUUUUGACUGUGCUUUGAACUACUCUGUUUGUGAACUCUACCUUGUUUUUUGGAUUACCCUUUUGCUUGCAUUUGCCUGUUGGAAUGAUCACAACCGUGAUCAUUUCUGCCUUGCUGGUUUUGACCCACACUUGCCUUCUGAUGUCUGAUCUGUCUUUUGUAAAUUAAUCUU